GACGAACCGAGCGAACGUUGUUCGGAAUCACUGGGCUUAAAGGGCGCGUAGGCGGGCCGCCGCGUCCGGGGUGAAAUCCUCCCGCUCAACGGGAGAACGGCCUCGGAUACGGGCGGCCUGGAGGUAGGGGCGUGCGGAACUGUGGGUGGAGCGGUGAAAUGCGUUGAUAUCCACAGGAACUCCGGUGGCGAAGGCGGCACGCUGGACCCCACCUGACCGCUGAGGCGCGAAAGCCAGGGGAGCGAACGGG
rnacentral:rRNA from 1 species